AACGAACGCUGGCGGCAGGCUUAACACAUGCAAGUCGAACGCCCCGCAAGGGGAGUGGCAGACGGGUGAGUAACGCGUGGGAAUCUACCCAACCCUACGGAACAACUCCGGGAAACUGGAGCUAAUACCGUAUACGCCCUUAGGGGGAAAGAUUUAUCGGGGAUGGAUGAGCCCGCGUUGGAUUAGCUAGUUGGUGGGGUAAAGGCCUACCAAGGCGACGAUCCAUAGCUGGUCUGAGAGGAUGAUCAGCCACAUUGGGACUGAGACACGGCCCAAACUCCUACGGGAGGCGGCAGUGGGGAAUAUUGGACAAUGGGCGCAAGCCUGAUCCAGCCAUGCCGCGUGAGUGAUGAAGGUCUUAGGAUUGUAAAGCUCUUUCACCGGAGAAGAUAAUGACGGUAUCCGGAGAAGAAGCCCCGGCUAACUUCGUGCCAGCCGCCGCCGUAA
rnacentral:rRNA from 1 species